UGAGGAAUAUUGGUCAAUGGGCGUAAGCCUGAACCAGCCAAGUCGCGUGAGGGAUGAAGGAUCUAUGGUUCGUAAACCUCUUUUAUAAGGGAAUAAAGUGCGGGACGCGUCCCGCUUCGCAUGUACCUUAUGAAUAAGGAUCGGCUAACUCCGUGCCAGCAGCCGCGGUAAUACGGAGGAUCCGAGCGUUAUCCGGAUUUAUUGGGUUUAAAGGGUGCGUAGGCGGCCUUUUAAGUCAGCGGUGAAAGUCUGUGGCUCAACCAUAGAAUUGCCGUUGAAACUGGGGGGCUUGAGUAUGUUUGAGGCAGGCGGAAUGCGUGGUGUAGCGGUGAAAUGCAUAGAUAUCACGCAGAACCCCGAUUGCGAAGGCAGCCUGCCAAGCCAUGACUGACGCUGAUGC
rnacentral:rRNA from 1 species